UACGUAGGUGGCAAGCGUUGUUCGGAAUUAUUGGGCGUAAAGGGCGCGUAGGCGGUUCGUUAAGUCAGUUGUGAAAGCCCGGAGCUCAACUCCGGAGAGUCGACUGAUACUGGCGAGCUAGAGUACGGAAGAGGUAGCUGGAAUUCCCGGUGUAGCGGUGAAAUGCGUAGAUAUCUGGAGGAACACCGGUGGCGAAGGCGGCAUCCUGGACCGGCAUUGACGCUGAGGCGCGAAAGCUAGGGGAGCAAACGGG
rnacentral:rRNA from 1 species